AAGAGUAAAGUACUUCCGCUUCCUUAGGUGGAGCUGGAAAGGUGGAGGCGGAAGUGACUGAUCAAUUCAGGGGCGUGGGGUUCGUUUAGGUCUUUUCCUAGUUUUGCCCUGUGUAUGACCUCGUUUGGAGCCAUGAAACCAGGUCACCAUGUGUGAUGACUACAUCCAAAGAGAGUGAGUGGCUUGAGACAUUGGUAGUAUGUGUAUCUGAUCAUAUCAAUAUGUUAAAAUGACGUUCAAAGUAUGAUCUACCUCAGAAUAAUCUAGCCUCAAGCUUUAUUCUAGGAAGAUACAAGGGACAGAAUAGUUAGCAGUGUUCCUGUUGAAAGGUCCAAGUAUCUCCCUAGGCACAGAAAACACCCAAAUGAGCAAAGCAGACCUUGGUGGCCAGAGGGGAGCCCUCAGGUAGAGCUGCAGAUGCUGGCAGUUUGUGUUAGAAGGUUCCGGGGCUAAACAGAUGCCUAGAAUUAGCCACCAAAAGGUAAAUUGUAGACUCCACUCUUCAAGAAGCAGCAGAAGGAUUAGGAAUUCAAACAGUGCUAUUUUACGGUCAUAAGAACAGACAGUAUUUUUUUGGCGCAGCAAGAACUUCUUAGGCCAUAAAGCAUGACAGACCUCUUUUCCUUAUGCGCUGAAUUGAAGAAGUGCUGACUCUUUUGCUGAUGGUGGCUUUUCUACAAUAUAAAGAUGGAAAUGGGAAGAAGAUGUUCAUUGCAAAUUAAGGAAGCUCUUCCACGAGUUCACGAAUGGAAAUAACAUCAAGAGUUUUUCAUCUUCUUAGUGUGCAAGUAAUCUCUGCUGGACUUCUCUAUCAAAGUGUUUGAUGCAGCAAAAUAAAUAUCAAGGAGUGCAAUUCCUGGAUUUAUGAUGUCUGAGGAAUAGUCUUAGUGGAUUAUCCCAAACUUGACACAUUUUUUGCAAAAUGCUAUACAAAAAGAAGAUACAUGCGAUUAUGACAAGAUUCUCCACUUGGUGUGACCAGUCUCAUACAACCCAAGGCUGUGUGUCCAAAGGCAACUGUACUGAUCUUGACAAUAAUCAAAAGGUAGCCAGGUGCAUCGGGGAAAGCACUGACAUUGGAGUCAGACAGACUGAAGUUCAUAUCUGAUUCUGCUAUAUGACAACGUGUGGGCUAUGUGGCUAACUUCUCAGAGCUUCAGUUUUCUCAAGGGCAAAAUGAAAAUAAUAGAAAUAAUAGAAUCCACCUCACAGGGCUGUGGUGAGAAUUGGAGAUGAAGCACAUACAGCAUAUUACAUCAACUAAACACAUGCUAAAAAUUAAAGGGGAUGAAAGAUACAUUGGUCCCUGCAGUGGGAAGUUUCCUUGACAAUGCAAUUAUUGAUUCCAGAAGGCUGAACAAAUGUUGACAGAGGAACACACUGUUUGCUUAUGUCUAAUCUUCCCAUCUGACUUAUAUAAAUGUCACAAAUGAAUCUCAGACAUGUGCCCAAUAUCAAAUAUCCAUACGAUGGCCCUGGAAAGAGGCAAUCUACAUUUAUGGCUGAUGAGAAGAUGGAUUUUUAGCUUGAAAGAAACUUAUUACUGGGGAGAGGAAGUAUAAAUGAAUGGAGAGAGCUAUGAAGAGGUUGAGAGAAUACAGCCAAGGCACAUGACAGAAUUGCUCUGUUGAAGUUUUGCAAGGUCAAAUGACUCACUUUGUCUAAUGGAACGGGAACGAACAAUUUUUUUGUGUCACGUUUGAACAGAUACCUUUGAGAAGUUUAUGAUUCUCCAAGUUCUCUUUCUCCUACUGUGGCACCUACUGACAAGAUAAAUGUGUAGAGGUUCCUGAGUCUAGGGGCACUGGAACCAGCUGACUGAUCUAUGGAAGUUCCCUUGGUCUCCAUUUGUUUAGAAAAGGGAUGAAGAAACUGAGGCCCACAGAAGGUGGGUGAUACCUGCAAAAUCACAAGCUUUCAUGGUGAAAGAAGAGGGCAAAACUCAACCCGUCUCUUUAGACUUGGGAAGAAUAUGAAAGGACCAGGAGGGACACCUUUCCUAAUAACCUAGCUGAUGGUUCACUUAUUGUAAGCACAUUCUCAAACAAGAGGCUGGAAAGCUGAAAAAUGACAUUCCCAGACUCCAUUGAAAUUAGAUUUCCAGAGAGUUGUCUCACUAAGCCCAAAUUUGUCUAACUGGCCUUAUUUCCCUGGAGUAUAUCCUGGAAGUUUCCAUUCAAGCCAAUUUAAGUUACUUUAAAUUAGGAAAGGCAGAAAACAAAAGCCCAAACCUUUGUAAAGGAGGAGGAUUUGCUACAUUGUUCUCAAUUCAUCACAGAAGAGGAUGAAACUGAGUGAUUACACUUGCUGGAGAGAAAAAAAGUCCUUCCCCCGCUCACCCCAAAUAAAGCAUUAACUUUAUGUUAAUCCAUGAA
rnacentral:lncRNA from 1 species